rnacentral:rRNA from 1 species
GACGAACGCUGGCGGCGUGCUUAACACAUGCAAGUCGAGCGGUAAGGCCCUUUCGGGGGUACACGAGCGGCGAACGGGUGAGUAACACGUGGGUGACCUGCCCUCAGCUCUGGGAUAAGCCUGGGAAACUGGGUCUAAUACCGGAUAUGACUCCAUGACGCAUGUUGUGGGGUGGAAAGCCUUGUGCGGCUGAGGAUGGGCCCGCGGCCUAUCAGCUUGUUGGUGGGGUGANGGCCUACCAAGGCGACGACGGGUAGCCGGCCUGAGAGGGCGACCGGCCACACUGGGACUGAGACACGGCCCAGACUCCUACGGGAGGCAGCAGUGGGGAAUCUUGCGCAAUGGGCGAAAGCCUGACGCAGCGACGCCGCGUGAGGGAUGACGGCCU